UAUUCGGUUGGUGCAAAAGUAAUUGCGGUUUUUGCCAUUGAAAGUAAUGGCAAAAACCGCAAUUACUUUUGCACCACCUUAAUA
rnacentral:pre_miRNA from 1 species